rnacentral:rRNA from 1 species
UGGGGGAUAUUGCACAAUGGGCGAAAGCCUGAUGCAGCGACGCCGCGUGGGGGAUGAAGGCCUUCGGGUUGUAAACUUCUUUUGCUCUGAACAAGGCAUGCUAAUGGGUGUGUUGAGUGUAGGGGUUGAUUAGCGCCGGCUAACUACGUGCCAGCAGCCGCGGUAAUACGUAGGGCGCGAGCGUUGUCCGGAAUUAUUGGGCGUAAAGGGCUUGUAGGUGGCUGGUUGCGUCUGUCGUGAAAGCUCAUGGCUUAACUGUGGGUUUGCGGUGGGUACGGGCUGGCUUGAGUGCAGUAGGGGAGGCUGGAAUUCCUGGUGUAGCGGUGGAAUGCGCAGAUAUCAGGAGGAAUACCGGUGGCGAAGGCGGGUCUCUGGGCUGUUACUCACACUGAGGAGCGAAAGCAUGGGGAGCGAACAGG